UUGUUGUUUAGGGCAUUUAAUGUACGAAUAUUGUACUGUUUUGUUUAGAAGCGAAUCUUCGGACCGCUCCACGUCAUCUGUGGAAGUUCCUUCUUACUGGGACAAAGGAUCCCUCCCUAGUCUGACGUAAAUGGACGGAUGCAAGUAAAACGUACAGAAACGCGUGACGAGGAGGCCUGUUGGAUAAUACAUCCACUGAGUCGCACCAGGCCCCGUCCAAGGUAAGAAUCCUGAGGGAUAAGGAUUCCUAAAUUCCUGCCUGGAGAUAAAGGCAGGGGCGGAGCCUACCCCCUGGACCGAGGACAGGGACCGACCUGGUGGUGGUGGGGAGGACGGAGGUUGCUCGUGUGCUUCAGUAUCUGCGAACGAGAGAGAAGAUCUGUCUACCUGAUAUUCAUGGUCAUGGUAACGUUGGUCAACUUGUUAACAAUCCCAUUGGACAUGGCUUUUUCUGAGGAUAUCCAUGGAACCUUACACAGGUUUUGGAUAUCAUUUACCGUCAUCUCAGCAGACAUAAUCUUCUUUUUUGACAUUUUGAUAAAUUCCCGAAUGGGAUUCAUCAAAGAAGAGGAUCAGGUGCCCGUUCUUGAUCCUCAGCUGAUAAGGAACAACUUUAUAAAAUCCUGGUUUGUUCUAGACCUGCUGGCUGCAUUUCCAGCUGACAGCAUCAUUGUUGUUGUGGUUUCACAUAUCCAACUCGCAGCAGUCAGAAGGAUCCUUAGAUCUGUGUGCGUAGUAGUUCUGCUCUUUCUAAUUACGCACUAGAACGCCUGCAUCCAGUUCUUCAUCUCUGCGAUGGGUGAAUUUCCACCUGAUGGCUGGGUCACGCAAGAACGCCUCAUGAAUGCCUCAAUUGGAGAGAAGUACUCCUCUUCUUUCUUUUGAGCAUUCUGACAAAUGACCUGGACGUCAUAUGGAUCUUCUGACCCGCCGACACGUAUUGAAGAACAGUGGACCGCCAUCAUAAGUUUUGUGAUUGGCCGGUCGAUGUUAAUUGCACUUGUUGCUUUGGGGAUAGCAGCGAACAUAAAAGAGCUGAACAACUUCGAGCAUCUGCCCAAGACUUUGCGCGAGCGUGUCAUUGCAGGCUACAAGUGGCAGCAGAAAAAGAACUCCCUCGGCCUCCUGCAAGAUUCAUUAAAAAAGGAUGUUAUGGAAGUCAUGUUCCCAAACCUGAUGAAGUCACACUGAUUGAGGCCGUUCUGAUGAAGCUGGACUGUGAAAUCUUCCAGGCAGGCGACAUCAUCAUCCAACAGAACAGUCUAGCUGACAGGAUGUACUUCAUCGAGGUUGGACGAGUACUCCAGGAGACCAGGUUCAUCCAAAAGGAGCUCUCAUGUGGAGCAUACUUUGGAGGUGGUGUAUGUUAUGUCUUGUGUGGAGACACGUGGUGUAAUGUCAAAACAUACAGCCACAUGUCUCCUUGUGUGCUGUAGCCCCGCCUCCUUGUUUCCCCAUCAUUGUCCCGAUUAGUGUUCAUCCCCUUCACCUGCCCCGUGUCAUCUUCCUGUUAGUGUUGAUUCUCCCCACCUGGCCCUUGUCAUCAACCCUGUUAGUCUCCCCUAUAUCUUGUCUCAGUUUCCCUCUGUCCCUUGCCGGUUUGCACUGUUUAUAUUGUUGUACCUUCGUCUUGCAAUUGUCAUCCAGUGAAUUUAUCCUGUCGUCCUAGUCUUCUUAACCUUGUCUUGCCAACUGUUUUGGAAUAUUAUUUAUUAUUGGACUUCCUUUGUUGCCCCUCCCCUGAGGGAAGUGUUUGUGUUUGGUUUCGUUUUGAGUGUUUUUCCCCAUCGUGGGUUUUUAUUUUCAGUUUUGUAUCAAUAAAGCCUUUUUGUGUU